ensembl:snRNA U6 U6 spliceosomal RNA
GUGCUUGCUUGGGCAGCACAUACACUAAAAUUGGAAUGAUACAGAGAAGAUAAGCAUGGCCCCUUAAAAAAAAGAAAACAAAGGACAAAACAGAAAUAACUGUAAUCUUA